rnacentral:rRNA from 1 species
UAUUAUGAGAGUUUGAUCCUAGCUCAGGAUGAACGCUGGCGGUGUGCCUUAGGCAUGCAAGUUAAACGAUCCAGAAAUUUCAGCAAUGAAAUUUCUGGGUAGUAGCAGACGAGUUAGUAAUACGCAGGAACCUUCCCCCAAGUCAGGAAUACCGAGCCGAAAGGUUUGUUAAUACCUGAUAGUCUCUUAGGAGUAAAGUCGCAAGACGCUUGGGAAUGGGCCUGUGGGCUAUCAGCUAGUUGGUAGUGUAAUGGACUACCAAGGCUA